rnacentral:rRNA from 1 species
ACGAUCAGUCACACUGGCACUGAGACACGGUCCAGACUCCUACGUGAGGCAGCAGUGGGGAAUAUUGGACAAUGGGCGCAAGCCUGAUCCAGCAAUGCCGCGUGUGUGAAGAAGGCCUUCGGGUUGUAAAGCACUUUAAGCAGGGAAGAAAAAACUACGGACUAACAUUUCGAGUCUUGACGGUACCUGAAGAAUAAGCUCCGGCUAACUCUGUGCCAGCAGCCGCGGUAAUACAGAGGGUGCAAGCGUUAAUUGGAUUUACUGGGCGUAAAGGGUGUGUAGGUGGUUUGACAAGUCGGCUGUGAAAUCCCCGGGCUUAACCUGGGAACUGCUUCCGAGACUGUUUGACUAGAGUACGGUAGAGGGCGGUGGAAUUUCCGGUGUAGCGGUGAAAUUAAGAACAUUGAUUUUCCACGGCAGUUGAGAAUUCAGUAGGAUCGAUCAUGGCGUCAGAGUAAUUGAC